rnacentral:rRNA from 1 species
AAUGAACGCUGGCGGCAUGCCUAAUACAUGCAAGUCGAACGAGUGGCGGACGGGUGAGUAAUGUCUGGGACACUCCUUGAUGGCGGGGGAUAACUACUGGAACCGGUAGCUAUUACCGCAUACCAUCAGAUGUGCGCAGAUUGGAUUAGCUAGUUGGUGGGGUAACGGCUCACCAAGGCGACGAUCCCUAGCUGGUCUGAGAGGGUGACCAGCCACACUGGAACUGAGACACGGUCCAGACUCCUACGGGAGGCAGCAGUGGGGAAUAUUGCACAAUGGGCGCAAGCCUGAUGCAGCCAUGCCGCGUGUGUGAAGAAGGCCUUCGGAUUGUAAAGCACUUUCAGUGGGGAGGCGUUACCCGCAGAAGAAGCACCGGCUAACUACGUGCCAGCAGCCGCGGUAAUUC